rnacentral:rRNA from 1 species
UUAUGAGGGGGAUUUCGGUCCCUUCUCUCCUUCCUUGUCUUUUGAGUACCCAAGUUUCUUUGGUAGGCUUGCCUGCCAUUGACAACCUAUAACCUUUUUAAUUUUAAUUCAGCGUCUGAAAACUUUAAUAAUUACAACUUUCAACAACGGAUCUCUUGGUUCUGGCAUCGAUGAAGAACGCAGCGAAAUGCGAUAAGUAGUGUGAAUUGCAGAAUUCAGUGAAUCAUCGAAUCUUUGAACGCACAUUGCGCCCCUUGGUAUUCCAUGGGGCAUGCCUGUUCGAGCGUCAUUUGUACCCUCAAGCUUUGCUUGGUGUUGGGUGUUUGUCCUAUUCUUUGCAAUAAGACUCGCCUUAAAACAAUUGGCAGCCAGUGUUUUGGCAUUGAAGCGCAGCACAUUUUGCAAUUCAAGCCCUAAUGCUUGCGUCCAUAAGCGUAUUUUACACUUUUGACCUCGGAUCAGGUAGGGAUACCCGCUGAACUUAAGCAUAUCAAUAAGCGGAG